rnacentral:misc_RNA from 1 species
AUUUCUCAACCCCUCUUGAUUUGAUUCGAGGGGGAGCUUGGAUAGUGGGGGUUGCCGGAGACUUGGGCCAAGUUCAUUCUUGGUCUAGGAUUUGGGCUCUCCUGAAAUGCAUUGGCUUGCGAGUGACUUUCGAGUUUGCACGACAAGGCUUUCGGCGUGAUAAUGAUCGCCGUGUGCUGAAGUGCAUGAAUGAAGGUUUCGUGCCUCUAAUAUGUCGAUCCCCUUAGAAAUAGGGGGGUCUUCCUCUUUGAC